AUGAACGCUAGCGACAGGCUUAACACAUGCAAGUCGAGGGGCAGCACAGGUAGCAAUACCGGGUGGCGACCGGCGCACGGGUGAGUAACGCGUAUGCAACUUACCUAUCAGAGGGGGAUAACCCGGCGAAAGUCGGACUAAUACCGCAUGAAGCAGGGGCCCCGCAUGGGGAUAUUUGCUAAAGAUUUAUCGCUGAUAGAUAGGCAUGCGUUCCAUUAGGCAGUUGGCGGGGUAACGGCCCACCAAACCGACGAUGAAUAGGGGUUCUGAGAGGAAGGUCCCCCACAUUGGUACUGAGACACGGACCAAACUCCUACGGGAGGCAGCAGUGAGGAAUAUUGGUCAAUGGGCGCGAGCCUGAACCAGCCAAGUCGCGUGAGGGAUGAAGGUUCUAUGGAUCGUAAACCUCUUUUAUAAGGGAAUAAAGUGCGGGACGUGUCCCGUUUUGUAUGUACCUUAUGAAUAAGGAUCGGCUAACUCCGUGCCAGCAGCCGCGGUAAUACGGAGGAUCCGAGCGUUAUCCGGAUUUAUUGGGUUUAAAGGGUGCGUAGGCGGCCUUUUAAGUCAGCGGUGAAAGUCUGUGGCUCAACCAUAGAAUUGCCGUUGAAACUGGGGGGCUUGAGUAUGUUUGAGGCAGGCGGAAUGCGUGGUGUAGCGGUGAAAUGCUUAGAUAUCACGCAGAACCCCGAUUGCGAAGGCAGCCUGCCAAGCCAUGACUGACGCUGAUGCACGAAAGCGUGGGGAUCAAACAGGAUUAGAUACCCUGGUAGUCCGCGCAGUAAACGAUGAUCACUAGCUGUUUGCGAUACAGUGUAAGCGGCACAGCGAAAGCGUUAAGUGAUCCACCUGGGGAGUACGCCGGCAACGGUGAAACUCAAAGGAAUUGACGGGGGCCCGCACAAGCGGAGGAACAUGUGGUUUAAUUCGAUGAUACGCGAGGAACCUUACCCGGGCUUAAAUUGCACUCGAAUGAUCCGGAAACGGUUCAGCUAGCAAUAGCGAGUGUGAAGGUGCUGCAUGGUUGUCGUCAGCUCGUGCCGUGAGGUGUCGGCUUAAGUGCCAUAACGAGCGCAACCCUUGCCACUAGUUACUAACAGGUAAAGCUGAGGACUCUGGUGGGACUGCCAGCGUAAGCUGCGAGGAAGGCGGGGAUGACGUCAAAUCAGCACGGCCCUUACGUCCGGGGCUACACACGUGUUACAAUGGGGGGUACAGAAGGCAGCUACACGGCGACGUGAUGCUAAUCCCGAAAGCCUCUCUCAGUUCGGAUUGGAGUCUGCAACCCGACUCCAUGAAGCUGGAUUCGCUAGUAAUCGCGCAUCAGCCAUGGCGCGGUGAAUACGUUCCCGGGCCUUGUACACACCGCCCGUCAAGCCAUGGGAGCCGGGGGUACCUGAAGUCCGUAGCCGAAAGGAUCGGCCUAGGGUAAAACUGGUGACUGGGGCU
rnacentral:rRNA from 1 species